rnacentral:ncRNA from 2 species
GUAGCCUUGCGCUUUCGAGGUUCUUCGGCCACGGGUCGAAGCUAAGAAGGGAACGCGGUCGAUGCCGCGGCUGCCCCCGCAACUGUGAAGGGUUCGAUUGCUGCAAGGCCACUGCAUGGGCGUCGACGACGCCGGUGGGAAGGCGCAGCAAUCGCCGGUCCGACGACUGGCAAGCCCUCAGCCAGGAGACCUGCCUCGAUCCCAGAUUCUCA